GCCCCCAUAGCUCAACGGAUAGAGCAGGGCUCUUCUAAGGCCUUGAUGGGAGUUCGAUUCUCUCUGGGGGUACCA
rnacentral:tRNA from 1 species